rnacentral:rRNA from 1 species
AUUGAACGCUGGCGGCAUGCUUUACACAUGCAAGUCGAGCGGCAGCGCGGGGGCAACCCUGGCGGCGAGCGGCGAACGGGUGAGUAAUGCAUCGGAACGUACCCUGGAGUGGGGGAUAACGCCGCGAAAGCAGCGCUAAUACCGCAUAUGCUCUGAGGAGGAAAGUGGGGGACCCGCAAGGGCCUCAUGCUCUGGGAGCGGCCGAUGUCCGAUUAGCUAGUUGGUGAGGUAAAGGCUUACCAAGGCGACGAUCGGUAGCUGGUCUGAGAGGAUGAUCAGCCACACUGGGACUGAGACACGGCCCAGACUCCUACGGGAGGCAGCAGUGGGGAAUUUUGGACAAUGGGGGGCAACCCUGAUCCAGCCAUGCCGCGUGAGUGAAGAAGGCCU